rnacentral:misc_RNA from 1 species
GUCUUCUUCGAUUUUAAUUUGUUCUUAUUUUCCUCUCUUCCAUUUUGUUCUUUAGAAAGGUUGAAAUUGAAACUUCCAUUUUACCUUACUGUAAGAUAUGCAGCAGAUAUGGAAUGUGUUUUGCAUAUGAAUGGAUUAUAAGAAUACAAUGAAAGAAUAUUAUAUUUAUACCCUUAGCACAUGUAUGCCUAGUUAUUUUAAUGUUGGUCUCUUACAUGGUCUGAUCCAAGUCCAUUAUUAUAAUGAUUAUGUUAGCAACUUCCUAUGAGGAAGGCAUACGUCUUUAAACUUUUAAGGGAAACAUAUAGUAAGUUUGGAAAGAAUCUUAGAAAGACAAUGUGAAAUAUUAGAAGUGACUAAAAUAGAUUAAUAAUGCAUUAAAAGCCUCUAAGGAUACUAUUUUAUUUUUUGUAUAGCAUGCUUCUUUAACCAUCAUCAAUCCUUUUUAAGUUGGAAAAACACCAUAUCAGCUCAACCUGGCUAUUAGAAGUUCUUGGAGGCAAUGUAGUAAAAAUUAAAGUCAUUCAGGGUCCGUAAUUUGGAUCAUAGUGAAUUUUUGUUGA